GACUUACAUAGAUCUAGAUCUAAUCGAUGACACUUAGUAAUAAGUAAUAUUGCUGACCAAAAUAGACUUACAUAGAUCUAGAUCUAAUCGAUGAUACUUAGUAAUAAGUAAUAUUGCUGACCAAAAUAGACUUACAUAGAUCUAGAUCUAAGCGAUGAUAUAAUUCAUUGAGUUCAUUAAAAUAUUAGGCUUUUAGUUUAUUUUGCCAACACUUGUAUUGGUUCUACUGUAUAUUUAUCACAUACAAGUUUUAAAAGUUUAUAAUAUACUGAGUGAAGCAUAAAGUUGGACAAUGAUAGUAUUAAACUUUUCUUUACUCUACGAUGUGUACUUUUAUUAAUAAAUGCUCCCUAAGUCUAAAACUUGUAUCAAUAAAUGCUCCCUAAGUCUAAAACUUGUAUUAAUAAAUGCUCCU